GUAACAAAAAACAUAAUAACUUUCGGCAGAAAGAGGGAGACCACUGGUGGCAGCACUGAGCGCACUGCUGCUGAGAAGCAGUCCAGUCAGUGAAGGAUGAAGAAAUCCUCCGCCAUCUUUGAUUUUUACAUGGUGGGUAUUCCAAUACCCAUACUAUUUAGUAUGCCAGAAAAAGAUUUAGUAUGUCGAAUGCAGUAUGGCAAAAAUACCUGGAUAUCCUAUUGCAUUUGGUCACAUUUUUCAGGAUGUAUGCCAGCAUGCUUUUCUGGCUAUUCUGACCAUAUAAAGAUGGACGACAUGACAGCUAUCCAAAAGUAAAGCCAAAGCAUCUCGAUCGCCCCCUGGUGGCUGGCUGCAGUAUAGGUCAUAAACCCCGCCCCCUCCAUGUUAGUGGGAGGGACAUGAGCCAAACUCAAAAAGGCAAAGUACAUGUUCAAUUAAUUUUUUCCCAAAGAUGGUUUCUGUCAUUUUAGUUAGUUCUUAUCAUGCUGCUGUAUGAUCAAGUGUGUGUUUUUCUGAUAAGUUUGAUUUUAAUUGCUUAUUUGAUACAAUAAUAAAAAGGGGUGUCACGUCAUGAUUGACAGCAGAGGCCGGCUCGUGAUUGAGUCAGCGGGGUGUGUGGGCGGGACCUCGAUACCGCGGCUCCAACUCCGAUCACUACUGCGCAAACUCUAGUUGCAAAUGACGUCAAAAGCGCAAGAUGGCGAUGUGGAACGCAGCCAUAGUUUGUCUUGACUUCAUUGGAAAAUACUCCUUUUUUUCCAGAAUAAACCAUGUGUUUUUGUUACUAUUCACCUGCUUGAUGUUAUUUCUUCCCACCGACCAACCGAGCUCCACAAUGCUAAUAUGAUGACAACAGCAGCUGUUCUCAUUUCUGUGCUAAAGUGUCACCUAUUGUAAUCAUGUGACAUGUGUGUUUUUGGCCAGUGCCAGACUGACUACCAGAUCAGAUCAUACACAGCUUCAGCUGUUCCAUCUCUUCCUCAUCAGCAGUCGAUAGUUUUACAGCCAGCUUUUGCUCUCUGAGCUUCACAGAGGACGUCGCUGCUUGUUCAUCCACGCUGGCUUCACUCCACACGUCUUUCUCGUAUAAAGAGCAAAAAGAAGGAUAAAGGCCAAAAACAGAAAUGUAUGAUAAUAAGGAAGUGACACAUAUCACAUCUGGGAUUCUGCCGGUGCAGACGAACAGGGAGCAGGUUGUCAGUCACCUCACGGCGCCAGAGCACACAUCGCAACGCCUGCUGACUGAUAAAUCACAGGACAAAUCAAAACGGGGCGACAGAGCUCAGCUGGUGUCACAUCAUAAGAGACAAAGGCUUUGUGAGGUAUCACUCAGACACUCUUAUCGCCAGAAAACCACAUAACAGCAGUUUUGGUAAUUUUCUUAUUUGAAAAUUUGAAUCACAAAAAACAUUUCUCACAUACAUCUAGUGGUAAAUUAUCUAGCCAUGCAGAAAGUUUCGAUUUUAUGUGCCCGGGCUUGGACAGAUCUGCCUGUUAAACUCACUAGUGACACGAAUUGGUAUAAACAAAUCUGAUAAAUUGUUGCACAAUUUUCUACUACUGUAACCAAUAAGAACUGUUAUAUCACUAUGAAGGUGUUAUCACCUCCUGGUUACGUUUGCUAUAAUCAACUUGUUUCCAAAUGUACAAUACAAUUCACAGAAUGUUUUUAAAACUGCACUAAUCAAUAUUUUUUAAAUUCACAAUAGGUCAAAUGACUUCUGUAAUGCUAAAAGGUACACUUGACGAACCCACAGAGAAUUAUCACCUGAUUGUGCAGUUCCCCUCAGCUCUACGGAGCUUUUCAGCGUCUUUUAAAUCAUUGUUUUUGUUUUAUGGCAGCAAAUUUACUCACUUAAAACACUCAGUGUCUUUUCCAACUGUAGUGCGCAGUUGUUUUCGCUCUGAUAAACUCACUGUACACUACCUGCAAAGUUUAGCUACUAGCUGGUGAACAGAUAUUUCCCUCAAGAGCUGGUGGAGAGAAAAUAAAAACCAAAAAGAGCAGAAAAGCAGAGUGAAAAUUGGACAGAACUUAAUAAGAUGAUAAUGUGCCAGUGUUGUUUCUAAGUGGCCAGAAAAAAACUGUUAAUACUGCUUUAAACAAGUUAGAAAAAGGUUAAUAUUUAUAUGUAUUUUUGAAACUAUUGAGUAAAAUUGCAGGAAAAUAGGAAGUGAGGAAUAACACGUGAAGUUUAAACAGUUGAUUUGGUAUCAAAAGUAACAUAAGAAUGUAGAUCCAAAUAAAAAGUUAAAUUAUCUUUAUUGUAUUUGGAUGGAAGCAGCAGCAAUGUCAGAAAACGAUAUUUGUCUGUCAUCUGCAUGACUGGGUACCACUAGAGGUAUGUGAGAAAAUUUGAGUGAACUGCCCCUUUGUGUUGAAUUUAUGUCCUUACAACCCUGUUAAAACCCAUUUGGGGUCUCAUUUCAAAACUACAUAGGCAUCAAUGAGGAAGAAUAAACUUUUUUUUUUCUUUCCUGUAGAACUUGGCAGGCAAAAUCCAACAACUAUUGUGCUGUUAAACUUAUACUGUGAGCAUUUUUAGGUCCAACUUGAACUAGAAUGUGUCAUUUUCAUCAGGUCUGCUUGGGCAACAUAUUUUCUUUCUUUGUGUUAAAAUCAGCAUAUGUUGUGACAUUUAAUAAUGCAGUGAAACAAAUGGGUUUCUUCAGAUAACUGAAUUCAAUGGCAGUAUUGAAGAUGACACAUUCCUUGUUAAGAGCGUUUGCUCCUAACCAACUUCGGUCUCUCCAUUUCAACACUUUUCAUAGACAUGUCCGCUCCACAAAGCAGAGCUGUGCUUUUACAGUACAUAUUGUAAAUCCUCUGGCGUCCCACGUCGAGCGAAGAGUCCCAGCAGGUAGCGGGCCAACUAGGGUCAUCACCUUCAUCUCACAAGUCUCUCAAAAGACAGAUGCAUCCGUUCACGCAUCAAAACCCGCACUGUCUGUUUUCCACCAGUCCUCCCGCAACGGCAAAAUAUGAUUGGUCACAAACUUGUCUAUAGAUAUGCUUUCUCUGCGGCAAAGUCCAUAUACAUUUAAAAAAUAUAAACUUGUUUCCAUCUCUUGUUGCUUCACCAAAA